GAUGAACGCUGGCGGCGUGCCUAAUACAUGCAAGUCGAGCGAACAGACGAGGAGCUUGCUCCUCUGACGUUAUCGGCGGACGGGUGAGUAACACGUGGAUCACCUACCUAUGAGACUGGGAUAACUUCGGGAAACCGGAGCUAAUACCGGAUAAUAUAUUGAACCGCAUGGUUCAAUAGUGAAAGACGGUUUUGCUGUCACUUAUAGAUGGAUCCGCGCCGCAUUAGCUAGUUGGUAAGGUAACGGCUUACCAAGGCGACGAUGCGUAGCCGACCUGAGAGGGUGAUCGGCCACACUGGAACUGAGACACGGUCCAGACUCCUACGGGAGGCAGCAGUAGGGAAUCUUCCGCAAUGGGCGAAAGCCUGACGGAGCAACGCCGCGUGAGUGAUGAAGGUCUUCGGAUCGUAAAACUCUUUUAUUAGGGAAGAACAAAUGUGUAAGUAACUAUGCACGUCUUGACGGUACCUAAUCAGAAAGCCACGGCUAACUACGUG
rnacentral:rRNA from 1 species